GACGAACGCUGGCGGCGUGCUUAACACAUGCAAGUCGAACGGAAAGGCCCUGCUUUUGUGGGGUGCUCGAGUGGCGAACGGGUGAGUAACACGUGAGUAACCUGCCCUUGACUUUGGGAUAACUUCAGGAAACUGGGGCUAAUACCGGAUAGGAGCUCCUGCUGCAUGGUGGGGGUUGGAAAGUUUCGGCGGUUGGGGAUGGACUCGCGGCUUAUCAGCUUGUUGGUGGGGUAGUGGCUUACCAAGGCUUUGACGGGUAGCCGGCCUGAGAGGGUGACCGGCCACAUUGGGACUGAGAUGCGGCCCAGACUCCUACGGGAGGCAGCAGUGGGGAAUAUUGCGCAAUGGGCGGGAGCCUGAUGCAGCAACGCCGCGUGCGGGAUGACGGCCUUCGGGUUGUAAACCGCUUUCGCCUGUGACGAAGCGUGAGUGACGGUAAUGGGUAAAGAAGCACCGGCUAACUACGUG
rnacentral:rRNA from 1 species